GACGAACGCUGGCGGCGUGCUUAACACAUGCAAGUCGAGCGGUAAGGCCCUUUCGGGGGUACACGAGCGGCGAACGGGUGAGUAACACGUGGGUGACCUGCCCUCAGCUCUGGGAUAAGCCUGGGAAACCGGGUCUAAUACUGGAUAUGACUCCAUGACGCAUGUUGUGGGGUGGAAAGCCUUGUGCGGCUGAGGAUGGGCCCGCGGCCUAUCAGCUUGUUGUGGGGUGAUGGCCUACCAAGGCGACGACGGUAGCCGGCCUGAGAGGGCGACCGGCCACACUGGGACUGAGACACGGCCCAGACUCCUACGGGAGGCAGGCAGUGGGGAAUCUUGCGCAAUGGGCGAAAGCCUGACGCAGCGACGCCGCGUGA
rnacentral:rRNA from 1 species